rnacentral:rRNA from 1 species
AGCAGCCGCGGUAAUUCCAGCUCCAAUAGCGUAUAUUAAAGUUGUUGCAGUUAAAAAGCUCGUAGUUGAAUUUCGGGGUCAGUAGGUCGGUCAUGCCACUGGUAUGAACUGGUUUCACUGAUUCCUCCCUCUUGUAGAACCGUGAUGCCAUUAAUUUGGUGUUGCGGGGAAACAGGACUGUUACUUUGAAAAAAUUAGAGUGUUUAAAGCAAGCUAACGCUUGAAUACAUUAGCAUGGAAUAAUGAAAUAGGACGUCGAUCUUAUUUUGUUGGUUUCUAGGGUUGACGUAAUGAUUAAUAGGGAUAGUUGGGGGCAUUAGUAUUCAAUUGUCAGAGGUGAAAUUCUUGGAUUUAUUGAAGACUAACUACUGCGAAAGCAUUUGCCAAGGAUGUUUUCAUUAAUCAAGAACGAAAGUUAGGGGAUCGAAGACGAUCAGAUACCGUCGUAGUCUUAACCAUAAACUAUGCCGACUAGGGAUCGGAUGAUGUUAAUUUUUUAAUGACUCAUUCGGCGCCUUAC